rnacentral:rRNA from 1 species
CACACGACUCUCGGCAACGGAUAUCUUGGCUCUCGCAUCGAUGAAGAACGUAGCGAAAUGCGAUACCUGGUGUGAAUUGCAGAAUCCCGCGAACCAUCGAGUCUUUGAACGCAAGUUGCGCCCGAGGCCACCUGGCUGAGGGCACGCCUGCCUGGGCGUCACGC